UUUCACAUUUUGUAUGCAAUGAUAGCCCGGUUAUUAGCCUUUUAUCAUCUACAAUCUGUUACUACCCUAUUUACCGACAUUAAUUUGUCGGUUUUUUUU
rnacentral:sRNA from 22 species